rnacentral:misc_RNA from 1 species
AAAUGAACUAAACAUGGUUGAUACGCUUGGACAUGCUGAUUUUCGUGGUGAAGUAUAUGACCUACCUUGGAUUAUUUUUUAUUGUUAUUCAUGUUAAUAUUGUGCAGGAUCCAUCUUUUAUGCCAUUAUAAAUCAUAAUCUAGCUCUUUUCCAUGUUCUAGUUUUCCAUUAAGGCAUUUCUAGCUUUUACACGGAAUAGAA